UAAUACUAAUUAUAAAACAUUUAAUUAAUUAUAUAAAAAUGUAUCUAGAAUAAGUUUAACAUCAUAUAAUAGUGAGAUCAAUAAUCAUUUGAUCAAAUAUUUAUGAAGUUUUAUGCAAAAUCAAUUAAAGUAUAUAAAAUGAUAUUUAAAUCUAUAUGUAAAUAUUCUAUCUAAUUGAGGGAGAGAGAGAGUAUAUUUAAAUUAUAUAGUUUUAACUAAAACUAUAUAGUUUUGCUGCUAGUACUAAGAGUUAUUAAUAUAUUGUCUCUUAAUUCCUAACAAUGGCUGAUUAAAAAAGACUUGCAAGAUAUACCUUUUAGAAGGUAUAAAGAGAGUGUCUACUUAAAGAGACAUACAUUGGGAGAGAAAUGUAUAAACUAAUAGUAUAUUUAUUCAUUUAGAGAGAGAGAUAUUAAACGUAACAAUAUCUAUGAUUGUAAAAUUUAGUAUUAUUUAAUCUUGUAAGAGUUUAAAAAUUAAGAGAGAGAAAAAUAAUAGAAAUAAAUAUUAUAAAUUAAGAGUGAAUUUAAGAUAAUAUCACUUGUAUCAUCCAGUGUUGUCAAGGUGCUAGGCAAGGUGAGGCACCUUCACUGAGGCAAGCGCCUCAAUAUCUAUGAUUGUAAAAUUUAGUAUUAUUUAAUAUUGUAAGAGUUUAAAAAUUAAGAGAGAGAAAAAUAAUAGAAAUAAAUAUUAUAAAUUAAGAGUGAAUUUAAGAUAAUAUCACUUGUAUCAUCCAGUGUUGUUAUGAGGCACCUUCACUGAGGCAAGCGCCUCAGUGAAGGGAGGCGCCAGGCGCUGCCUCUUUUAUAUAGACUAAUUUAUUUUUUAAUGAGUGCAAAGUGGAGCAGCAAAUGAAAGAAGAGAAGAAGAAGAAGAAGGAUGGGAAAAGUUUAUUAGAGGAGGACGAGGAAUAAAUAUUAUAACUUAAGAGUGAAUUUAAGAUAAUAUCACUUGUAUCAUCCAGUGUUGUUAAGGUGCCAGGCAAGGUGAGGCACCUUCACUGAGGCGCUCGCCUCAGUGAAGGGAGGCGCCAGGCGCUGCCUCAUUUAUAUAGACUAAUUUAUUUUUUAACGAGUGCAAAGUGGAGCAGCAAAUGAAAGAAGAGAAGAAGAAGAAGGAUGGGAAAAGUUUAUCAGAGGAGGAGGAGGAGGAGACAUAGUAAAUGCUUUUGGCAUCUUCCAUAAUCCAAUAUCUUCUAUUCUCUAUCCAAGUAUGCUACACACAACAAUUUUUUUCUUUUGUUUUUCUUCUGCAAUUUUAGGUUAUGUAUUUAUUUUGUUUUAUUGCUUAUAAUUGAAUACUUUUAGAAAAUAUAGGUUACUUUCUUAUUUAUUAUAAAUGAGUGUCAUUCUAUUGUUUUUAAUUUGAGUUUUAAAAUUAUAAUUUUUGUUUAUUUAUUUUGGAUGCCUGAGGAGGAGGAGGACCAAACCAAUUGAAAUUGAUAAUUCAGUUCGUCUUCUAUAAUAAAUUGGUGCGAUUUGAUUUUAAGAUAAAAAGUCUUUGGUUUAUUUGGUUCAGUUCGGUUUUCGUUAAGAAAAAUUCGGAGAAACCGAACCGAUUGAUAUAAUAAUAUUUUAUAACUAUAUUACAAGUGUUGAUGUGUAGCCUGGUGGUUUGAGAAGCUGCAUGUAAGGCUGCCACUUUUUUGUGUAGGUCACGAUUUCUGUUCUUAGCACUGCCUUUUUCUCCUUUUUUUUCCCCUUGCCUUUUUUGUAACAAAUAAUAUCAACUGUCUGUUCUCAAUGAAUCUCAACCAUUCUUUUCCUCUUAUAUAUUCAUUCUUUUUCUUUACCAAAACCCUACAGCCCCUAUUCUUCUCCUUCCUCUUUUACCGCCUUCUUCUCCAUUUCUCCUCUAUGGCCUUUUUUUUCU
rnacentral:lncRNA from 1 species